AGGGUUGCUGGAGGUAUCAGAAGUGCGAAUGCUGACAUAAGUAACGAUAAAGCGGGUGAAAAGCCCGCUCGCCGGAAGACCAAGGGUUCCUGUCCAACGUUAAUCGGGGCAGGGUGAGUCGACCCCUAAGGCGAGGCCGAAAGGCGUAGUCGAUGGGAAACGGGUUAAUAUUCCCGUACUUGGUGUUACUGCGAAGGGGGGACGGAGAAGGCUAUGUUGGCCGGGCGACGGUUGUCCCGGUUUAAGCGUGUAGGUGUGUGUUCCAGGUAAAUCCGGUUCACUUUAACACUGAGGCGUGACGACGAGGCACUACGGUGCUGAAGCAACAAAUGCCCUGCUUCCAGGAAAAGCCUCUAAGCAUCAGGUAACAUCAAAUCGUACCCCAAACCGACACAGGUGGUCAGGUAGAGAAUACCAAGGCGCUUGAGAGAACUCGGGUGAAGGAACUAGGCAAAAUGGUGCCGUAACUUCGGGAGAAGGCACGCUGACACGUAGGUGAAGUGAUUUACUCAUGGAGCUGAAGUCAGUCGAAGAUACCAGCUGGCUGCAACUGUUUAUUAAAAACACAGCACUGUGCAAACACGAAAGUGGACGUAUACGGUGUGACGCCUGCCCGGUGCCGGAAGGUUAAUUGAUGGGGUCAGCGCAAGCGAAGCUCCUGAUCGAAGCCCCGGUAAACGGCGGCCGUAACUAUAACGGUCCUAAGGUAGCGAAAUUCCUUGUCGGGUAAGUUCCGACCUGCACGAAUGGCGUAAUGAUGGCCAGGCUGUCUCCACCCGAGACUCAGUGAAAUUGAACUCGCUGUGAAGAUGCAGUGUACCCGCGGCAAGACGGAAAGACCCCGUGAACCUUUACUAUAGCUUGACACUGAACAUUGAGCCUUGAUGUGUAGGAUAGGUGGGAGGCUUUGAAGUGUGGACGCCAGUCUGCAUGGAGCCGACCUUGAAAUACCACCCUUUAAUGUUUGAUGUUCUAACGUGGACCCGUUACCCGGGUUGCGGACAGUGUCUGGUGGGUAGUUUGACUGGGGCGGUCUCCUCCUAAAGAGUAACGGAGGAGCACGAAGGUUGGCUAAUCCUGGUCGGACAUCAGGAGGUUAGUGCAAUGGCAUAAGCCAGCUUGACUGCGAGCGUGACGGCGCGAGCAGGUGCGAAAGCAGGUCAUAGUGAUCCGGUGGUUCUGAAUGGAAGGGCCAUCGCUCAACGGAUAAAAGGUACUCCGGGGAUAACAGGCUGAUACCGCCCAAGAGUUCAUAUCGACGGCGGUGUUUGGCACCUCGAUGUCGGCUCAUCACAUCCUGGGGCUGAAGUAGGUCCCAAGGGUAUGGCUGUUCGCCAUUUAAAGUGGUACGCGAGCUGGGUUUAGAACGUCGUGAGACAGUUCGGUCCCUAUCUGCCGUGGGCGCUGGAGAACUGAGGGGGGCUGCUCCUAGUACGAGAGGACCGGAGUGGACGCAUCACUGGUGUUCGGGUUGUCAUGCCAAUGGCACUGCCCGGUAGCUAAAUGCGGAAGAGAUAAGUGCUGAAAGCAUCUAAGCACGAAACUUGCCCCGAG
rnacentral:rRNA from 1 species